UUUGAGUGAGUGGCGAACUGGUGAGUAACACGUGGGAAACCUGCCCAGAAGCGGGGGAUAACACCUGGAAACAGAUGCUAAUACCGCAUAACAACUUGGACCGCAUGGUCCGAGUUUGAAAGAUGGCUUCGGCUAUCACUUUUGGAUGGUCCCGCGGCGUAUUAGCUAGAUGGUGGGGUAACGGCUCACCAUGGCAAUGAUACGUAGCCGACCUGAGAGGGUAAUCGGCCACAUUGGGACUGAGACACGGCCCAAACUCCUACGGGAGGCAGCAGUAGGGAAUCUUCCACAAUGGACGAAAGUCUGAUGGAGCAACGCCGCGUGAGUGAAGAAGGGUUUCGGCUCGUAAAACUCUGUUGUUAAAGAAGAACAUAUCUGAGAGUAACUGUUCAGGUAUUGACGGUAUUUAACCAGAAAGCCACGGCUAACUACGUGCCAGCAGCCGCGGUAAUACGUAGGUGGCAAGCGUUGUCCGGAUUUAUUGGGCGUAAAGCGAGCGCAGGCGGUUUUUUAAGUCUGAUGUGAAAGCCUUCGGCUCAACCGAAGAAGUGCAUCGGAAACUGGGAAACUUGAGUGCAGAAGAGGACAGUGGAACUCCAUGUGUAGCGGUGAAAUGCGUAGAUAUAUGGAAGAACACCAGUGGCGAAAGCGGCUGUCUGGUCUGUAACUGACGCUGAGGCUCGAAAGUAUGGGUAGCAACAGGAUUAGAUACCCUGGUAGUCCAUACCGUAACGAUGAUGCUAGUGUGAGGUUUCGGCCCUCAGUGCUGCAGCUACGCAU
rnacentral:rRNA from 2 species